AUCUGGAAGCCUGCUCCUCUGUUCCAUACGGAGGCAAGCACGCAUCCUCCGGAGGCCCCGCAGGUAUUUGAGGAGCAUCUGAGCCCACGUUCCUAAAACCUAGACCCCCUGGAAAAGGAAGAGACACCAGGAGAGCGUCACACAGACAAGAGGCCACGAGAGGACACAGCCAGGAGCCACUGUCUGCGGGCCGAGAAGAAAGGUCUCAUCUGAAACCACCACCCCUACCCUUGCAAUUCCAGCUUCUAGAACAGUGAGAAAAUAAAUUUCUUCUGCCAAAGCCCCUCAAUCUGUGGCAGUGUAAGCCGACCAAUACAAUAGGCAUACGGGUAUUUAUCGUACUAUCCUUGCCACAUUUUGAGGUUUCCAAUUUUCCCAGCUGAGAAGUUGGGAACAUAACGUACGCUGCCCCCAGGAAUAAAAACUUCUCCAAAAGGGAACCUGAA